rnacentral:rRNA from 1 species
AGUAAAAGUCGUAACAAGGUUUCCGUAGGUGAACCUGCGGAAGGAUCAUUAAAGAGUAAGGGUGCUCAGCGCCCGACCUCCAACCCUUUGUUGUUAAAACUACCUUGUUGCUUUGGCGGGACCGCUCGGUCUCGAGCCGCUGGGGAUUCGUCCCAGGCGAGCGCCCGCCAGAGUUAAACCAAACUCUUGUUAUUAAACCGGUCGUCUGAGUUAAAAUUUUGAAUAAAUCAAAACUUUCAACAACGGAUCUCUUGGUUCUCGCAUCGAUGAAGAACGCAGCGAAAUGCGAUAAGUAAUGUGAAUUGCAGAAUUCAGUGAAUCAUCGAAUCUUUGAACGCACAUUGCGCCCCUUGGUAUUCCGAGGGGCAUGCCUGUUCGAGCGUCAUUACACCACUCAAGCUAUGCUUGGUAUUGGGUGCCGUCCUUAGUUGGGCGCGCCUUAAAGACCUCGGCGAGGCCUCACCGGCUUUAGGCGUAGUAGAAUUUAUUCGAACGUCUGUCAAAGGAGAGGACUUCUGCCGACUGAAACCUUUUAUUUUUCUAGGUUGACCUCGGAUCAGGUAGGGAUACCCGCUGAACUUAAGCAUAUCAAUAAGCGGAGGAAAAGAAACCAACAGGGAUUGCCCCAGUAACG